rnacentral:rRNA from 1 species
UACGUAGGGUGCAAGCGUUGUCCGGAAUUAUUGGGCGUAAAGAGCUCGUAGGCGGUUUGUUGCGUCGGCUGUGAAAUCCCGAGGCUCAACCUCGGGUCUGCAGUCGAUACGAGCAAACUAGAGUGUUGCAGGGGAGACUGGAAUUCCAGGUGUAGCGGUGAAAUGCGUAGAGAUCUGGAGGAACACCGAUGGCGAAGGCAGCCUUCUGGGCCAACACUGACGCUCAUGCACGAAAGCGUGGGGAGCAAACAGG